CUGAAAAAGCCAUGUGCUGUGCGAUUAUAAAUAUAAACAAGAAGCCGACGACAGACAAAGCGCUGUAAGUAGCCUAUUACGUAUCAUUUAUGUACAAUCCUAGGAUGGAGAACAACAUGAUUUGUACUCCGGCAAUGACAUGGCACUCAGAAGAAAGCUGGCUGAAACGAACUUGGAGAAGAACAAUGGAACAAGAAAGAUUCCAGCUGGGUUGGAUUAGCUGGGCAUCAGCAGGGGCAUUAGCCAAAGACAGAGGCAGGUGAAGGCUGUGGUAAUGAGGCCUUGUGUACCUGUAGGCAUGAAGGAUCAUGAGAUGUAUGGAUGUUGUCCUAAGUAAGAACUGUCCUGGCAAUGUUGGAAUGAAAUUUACAGGAGCUACAAAGAGUCUUGGUUUUUAGAAGACUUAGUAUAAAUGUUCUAAAGAAAGAAAACAGUGUGGCAAAGAAAGGAAAGGAUUAUUCACUCAAAGAAAUAUGGAUGACAAGUACCUCCAGUAAAUGAUGUCAUAUCCAGCUUUGAAAAUGUUUUGUUUGAAAGAAAAGGACCUGAAGAAGGAGAAAGAUCUAUUUUAUAGAUUUAGAUGGAUUGAUAAACUGUCAAAGCUAUUGCUAUCACUAAAUUUUGUACAAUACUUGUAAUUCUUUAUCACUGAGUCUUUGAGCCUUCUGACAUGAUAGUGUAUCUAAUCUGAGAAAGCAGUGUCCAUGAUAUCAAUCUUGAAACAUUUCAAAAUAACCUAAUAUCAAAACAUAAUAUGUACAGAUUUAAUAGCAGAUGAAAACUCUACACAAA